rnacentral:lncRNA from 1 species
CUCGAUAGAGAGGGUGGCUGAUCUUAUAAGCCACUUAUAUGAGACACUAAUAUAAAAAAAUAGAUGCUCAUUAGAGAAUGAGUUCACUGAAUUGAUCUGACUUAAGAAACAUCUUAUGGGAUUUACUUACUCAUCAAAAGAUGCUUUCUUAUAGUGGAAGUUGUGCAUGUAAUCUUUUGACCUGAGACUAUCAUAGAACCUUGUAUAUUUGAAUCCAUAUUUUUAGUU